GCAUGUAGAGGUAUAAAAGGUGUAUCACCUGUCACAAACGGCACACAUUCAGUGCGCGUAAAAGGUGAGCCAAACCUGCCCAGGCAUGCGCAUUUUGUCCUCGACCUCUUUGCUUUUUGAAGGUAAUCUUGACAACAGAGGAGCCAGCUGUUACGCGCUCACAGCCUCUCUCUCAGGAUCAUCCUCUGACUUCUUGUGCCCUUUUCAUGUCUGUAUUUGCUUCACGUUGAGCCUCACGCACAAUACCUGAAGAUGAAGUUUUGUUCGUUCGGCUCGCGUUAUGCAGGUACGGGUUGGCAACUUGAAAAGACACAAAACUUGAUGUUGACUGUUGCAUCACUGUUCCUGCUAUUGCCAAUCUUCAGUUCAGACUAAUUAUGUCAAGUUUUGGGCACCCAAUUGGUAGGCCUCAUGUUGCUGCGUUUCUGCAACACCAGAGGGCCAAGGAAUAUUAUUAAAAAAAAAAGCUUUUAUACAUGAUCCACGAAGUCUGGAUCACUGCUCCAUCUAAACGACUUAGUAACAACAACAUUUUAUUAACCGAAGCACCAGGUGUGGAGAGUUGGUUGCUGGCUAGAUAGCCUCAUUUGCAUACAGGUGGCUGCAGGUCAUGCAGGAAAGAAAGCCGUGUCAACCUUGUACAACUUGUUGGUGCUGAAUACUGAAGUCACUUUGUUUGCCCAAAGGAUGACGGUAAAGAAUAGAAAUAUGUUGUCUAAAUGAAAAAUCUGAUUGUAAGUUAAAAAAAAAAAAAAUUAAAUUGUGAUUUUGUUUAAAAAAAUAAAAGGUUACAGCAAGCAGAUUUUGUUGAUUUGAUUUGCAAUUGAGGCUAAAAAGACAUAUGUUCAUAGAUUUAAAAAAAAAAAGAAGAUCCAUCCUGUAUAUCUAAAACUUG